GUACUCAACAAACAACGAACUUUGGUCAACAUAUUACAACAAGUCAAGUGAAAAAGAGUUCAGCGGCAACUCUGACAGAACAACAGUGGUUACUAAUGUAAUAACCAACCCAUUCAGAGCCAGGUUUGUUCGUGUACUUCCAACUGCUUACCAAGGAUGGAAGUUGCUAAGGGUGGAUUUCAAAGGACUUUCUUUAGGUUGCACUUCGUCGCUUGGUCUUGAG